rnacentral:misc_RNA from 1 species
UAUUAUAUUUAUACAUUUAUAUUUAUGUGUAUAUGAUAUAUACUAUGAUUAUGUUUAUAAUAUCAAAAAUUCAUCCUGACAAUAUAUUUUUUUCAGAAUUAUCGUAAAAAAUGGAGAAAAUGAAAAUAGAGGUAUAUAAUUUUAAAACAAUUGUAAAAAAAAAAGAUAGUGAUGUCUUCCCAUCUCAUCCAUCUGAGGGGAUAAAACUCUUUUAUCGAUGUUAUCCAGUCUGUUAUUUCGUCAUUUAAUUUUCUUCUCUUUUUUAUCUAUGCACAGUCAAAAUUAUGCUUCCAAAUACAUUUAGGUAUCGUAGUAUAGCAAUAUGUAGAAUGUUACUACGAGCGAACACAUUCAUCAUAUCGUUCAUCGAUCAUAUUUUAUUUCUGCGACAAGUUAAAAAACUCACAAGGAUUCUAUUCCAACGCUAUCAAACGAUUCGAAGGUUCAAAAUAAAAAUAAAAAUAAUAACAAUAACAAUAACAAUAAUAACAAUAAUAACGAUAAUAACGAUGAUAACGAUGAUUAAGAUGAUAAAGAUGAUAAAGAUGAUAAAGAUGACGACGACAAUGACAAUGACAAUGACAAUGA